GCUACUCAGCACAGAAAUCACCAUGAAGGAUAUAUUUUCUCUUCUGAUCCUGAUGAAACUUGUUUCAUGUGUCAUCUGUCAGAUUACUUUGGACCAGCCUGGCUCUGCAGUUGUGAAUCCAUCAGGAACCCUAAAACUUUCCUGCAAAGUCUCAGUGUCUGUAAGUAGUCAGCACUGGGCAUGGAUCUGGCAGGCUCCUGGGAAAGGACUGGUGUAUAUUGGUUUAUUAAACAGCGGCGGGAGCUCUAUCCCAGCCCCCUCAUUUCAAAGUCGAGUCACUUUCACCAGGGACACCUCAAAGAACGAGAUUUACUUACAAAUGACCAGUAUGAAAAGUGAAGACUCUGGGACAUAUUACUGUGCAAGAUACACAGUGACAGAAGGAAGUGAAAACUGAUUUUAAAACCUUAUCCUGAGACGUUAACAGGAGAGUGGUUACAGGAAUGCAGAACAUAACAAAUAGAAAAUUACUUUGAAUUGCUUCAUCAGCUCUAAUCCUAUUCCUUGAUUGAUUUAAAUGUGUCCAAUUCCCAUCAAAGUGCAUAUGCAACUGCACACGUUUUAAUGCAUUGACCACUAUUGUG